rnacentral:tRNA from 1 species
GUCCCAGUAGCUCAGUUGGAUAGAGCAACGGCCUUCUAAGCCGUGGGCCGGGGGUUCGAAUCCCUCCUGGGACA